rnacentral:rRNA from 1 species
UACAGAGGGUGCAAACGUUGCUCGGAAUUAUUGGGCGUAAAGCGCAUGUAGGCGGCACGGUAAGUUGACUGUGAAAGCCCUUGGCUCAACCAAGGAAGUGCAGUCAAAACUGCCGAGCUCGAGUUCUGAAGAGGGUCGCGGAAUGGCCAGUGUAGAGGUGAAAUUCGUAGAUAUUGGCUAGAACACCAGUGGCGAAGGCGGCGACUUGGGAAGAUACUGACGCUGAGAUGCGAAAGCGUGGGGAGCAAACAGG